rnacentral:rRNA from 1 species
AUUGAACGCUGGCGGCAUGCCUUACACAUGCAAGUCGAACGGUAGAGGGGGGCAUCCCCUUCGAGAGUGGCGAACGGGUGAGUAAUGCAUCGGAACGUGCCCAGUCGUGGGGGAUAGCCCGGGGAAACCCGGAUUAAUACCGCAUACGACCUGAGGGUGAAAGCGGGGGACUCGCAAGGGCCUCGCACGAUUGGAGCGGCCGAUGUCGGAUUAGGUAGUUGGUGGGGUAAAGGCCUACCAAGCCUGCGAUCCGUAGCUGGUCUGAGAGGACGACCAGCCACACUGGGACUGAGACACGGCCCAGACUCCUACGGGAGGCAGCAGUGGGGAAUUUUGGACAAUGGGGGCAACCCUGAUCCAGCCAUGCCGCGGGCGGGAAGAAGGCCUUCGGGUUGUAAACCGCUUUUGUCAGGGAAGAAAUGUCCUGGGCUAAUACCCUGGGGGGAUGACGGUACCUGAAGAAUAAGCACCGGCUAACUACGUGCCAGCAGCCGCCGUAA